UAAAUUUUGAUAGAGAUCAUUCAUACAUACAUACAUAAGACUGGCCUGUAGCCUGUUGACCAAACUGGUCCAGGAACAUGUAUAGGAUCCAUAAUUCUAUCACACCAAAACAUCCAUCCAAAAGGAAGUACUUGUGGUGAGUACACCUUCCUACUGAGAUGAGCGCUUGCUUCCAGUUGGAGACAUGGUGGGUGGUGGGGGAGUGUUGAGGUCUGGGAUAUUGGGAUUGGGGCUGGAGGUGGAGGUGGCAUUGGACUUGGCCAGCUUCUGCUGCAGUUGAGAGAAGAGGACCUGGUUCUCCUGGUUGAGAAGCUGGAGAUUCUUCCUCAACCUCUCGUUCUCCUUCAUGAUGUAGCAGUUCUGCAAGUACAGCUUGGUGUUGAGCCUCUCCAUGGCUUGCUCCAAGGAACAGCACCCUGAAACCAAUAAAGUACAGGCAGUGGGGUGCCUUUGGGCAUGAGAUAUCCUAACAAAAUGUCUUGUUGUCUUUCCAGAAAAGAAGAGAGAAAAGAAAAGGUAAUGGUACUGCAACAUGAGAAAUCCACAAGGAACAAAAUGGACUACACGAGAAACCCACAGAGCCAGCAAACCGAAACAUGCUCCUGACUGUGUGUGUGUGUGUCCGAGAGAGAGAGAGAGAGAGCUCUAGAAAAACGUGAUUAGCAAAUAAUUUAUUUUCGCUUCAGAAAUCAGAAUCUAACUUGAAAUAGAAGAACAUAAUAAGGGCGAAAACAAGAUGAGAAGUGCAUUUGUUUCUACUUCAAACAAGAUCACCUUUGAGGAGACGGAUGGAAGGAAACAGAGAAAGACUGAUAUGAAGCUGUGCUGCGGACUGCAUGGCCUUCCGGGUGGCGAGGUCUCGGGGUUAUUUAUAGGGUGCAAGAAUGGCGCAGGUACUCUCUCUCUCUCUCUCUCUCUCUCUCUC
rnacentral:lncRNA from 1 species